CUAUCAGGGGGAUGAUGUACUAUAGUCGAGCUCUACGGAUGUUAGCUUUUCUUGAUUCUGCAUCUGAGAUGGAUAUAAGAG
rfam:Corchorus olitorius cultivar O-4 contig17713, whole genome shotgun sequence.